AAAAAGCUCGUAGUCGGAUUUCGGGGCGGGCCGGGCGGUCUGCCGAUGGGUAUGCACUGUCCGGCGCGUCCUUCUUUCCGGAGACCGCGCCUACUCUUAGCUGAGCGGGCGUGGGAGACGGAUCGUUUACUUUGAAAAAAUCAGAGUGUUUCAAGCAGGCAGCUCGCUCUUGCAUGGAUUAGCAUGGGAUAAUGAAAUAGGACUCUGGUGCUAUUUUGUUGGUUUCGAACACCGGAGUAAUGAUUAACAGGGACAGUCAGGGGCACUCGUAUUCCGUCGAGAGAGGUGAAAUUCUCAGACCAAUGGAAGACGAACCACUGCGAAAGCAUUUGCCAGGGAUGUUUUCACUGAUCAAGAACGAAAGUUAGGGGAUCGAAGACGAUCAGAUACCGUCGUAGUCUUAACCAUAAACCAUGCCGACUAGGGAUUGGAGGGUGUUCUAUUUGACCCCUUCAGCACCUUACGGGAAACUAAAGUCUUUGGGUUCCGGGGGGAGUAUGGUCGCAAGGCUGAAACUUAAAGGAAUUGACGGAAGGGCACCACCAGGAGUGGAGCCUGCGGCUUAAUUUGACUCAACACGGGGAAACUUACCAGGUCCAGACAUAGUGAGGAUUGACAGAUUGAGAGCUCUUUCUUGAUUCUAUGGGUGGUGGUGCAUGGCCGUUCUUAGUUGGUGGAGUGAUUUGUCUGGUUAAUUCCGUU
rnacentral:rRNA from 1 species